rnacentral:rRNA from 1 species
UACAGAGGUCUCAAGCGUUGUUCGGAUUCAUUGGGCGUAAAGGGUGCGUAGGCGGAUAGGUAAGUCCGUGGUGAAAUCCUGCAGCUUAACUGCAGAACUGCCGUGGAUACUAUCUAUCUUGAAUAUCGUGGAGGUUAGCGGAAUAUGUCAUGUAGCGGUGAAAUGCUUAGAUAUGACAUAGAACACCCAUUGCGAAGGCAGCUAACUACGCGAUCAUUGACGCUGAUGCACGAAAGCGUGGGGAUCAAACAGG